AACGAACGCUGGCGGCAGGCUUAACACAUGCAAGUCGAACGGGUGUAGCAAUACAUCAGUGGCAGACGGGUGAGUAACACGUGGGAACCUUCCUAGGGGUACGGAACAACUCAGGGAAACUUGAGCUAAUACCGUAUACGUCCGUGAGGAGAAAGAUUUAUCGCCCUUAGACGGGCCAGCGUCGGAUUAGGUAGUUGGUGGGGUAACGGCCUACCAAGCCUACGAUCCGUAGCUGAUCUUAGAGGAUGAUCAGCCACACUGGGACUGAGGCACGGCCCAGACUCCUACGGGAGGCAGCAGUGGGGAAUCUUGGACAAUGGGCGCAAGCCUGAUCCAGCCAUGCCGCGUGAGUGAAGAAGGCCUUAGGGUUGUAAAGCUCUUUUACCAGGGACGAUAAUGACGGUACCUGGAGAAUAAGCCCCGGCAAACUUCGUGCCAGCAGCCGCCGUAA
rnacentral:rRNA from 1 species